rfam:Bacillus anthracis str. 'Ames Ancestor', complete genome.
AGAAAAACGAAGAUAGGGAUAAGUACCUUUUUCAUACCUUAUAUAGCGAACUGAGGAUGGUGUAAGCUCAGGAUAAGGAGAUAAUGGGAAUAUCACCCUGGAGUUCCGCGCUGAACAAAUAGAGUAAGCGUAGGCGUAUAUUCGCGUUAAGAAUAUAAAGAGGGUUGUAUACAUACGUAUAGGAUCUACUAGGGUGGUACCGCGGGAGACUUUCUCGUCCCUUUU